GCACCCGUAGCUCAGCUGGAUAGAGUGCUGCCCUCCGAAGGCAGAGGUCGUGAGUUCGAAUCUCGCCGGGUGCGCCA
rnacentral:tRNA from 2 species